UAUGUUAGCAGAAAUGUUAAUUCAUUGGUUUGACCAACUACCUAAUAACUACCCUUCUAAACGGACUUCCGGUUAUAAGCGCUUUUACGCAAAAGCUGUUUCAGCUGACUCACAUAAACCUCUUGUUGAUAAUAACCAAAAUACUCCCUCAUCAUCAUCUUCCAAAUUGUCCUUGUUCUUGGUGGUUCAGGCGGUGUUGGUAACCAUUCAUUUAUUCUUCUUCCUUCUGUUUCUUUUGUAAUUAGUUUGAUUUUGAAUUUGCUUUAGGCCCGCCCUGUUUGGAUAAACAAAUUAAUUUGCAGCUUAAAUUAUAAGUGUUUGUCGUGAUAAGUCCUUAUGAAUAAGCUGUUUUCGUAUGAGUAAUAAGUUGUUUUCAGAAGUUAUCUUCAAGAGCUUAUAAAAAAAAGUUGAAAACAUCUUAUGAACAUGAGCUAUUUUCAUAAGUUCUCCAAAACAGUCUCAAAAAUGUUGAAGGUCAAUCCAAACAAGUUCUUAAUGUUUCAUAAAUAUUUACAUAUUGUUUAACUAAAUAGAAAAAAUAUAAUGAUUAGUCACUCUAGAUGCAUUUACGAUCGCGGCCAAUUCAUAGAGUAGUUGCUGACUUAUGGGUGUUGUUUAUUAAGUUGACUCUAUGUUAGAUCUGCUAUAUCAAAAAAAAAAAAAAAAAUUAAAAGUAGAUCAGUUAUACAGUUAGUAGUUACUGGCUAGCAAUCUGUCACAGUUGGUUAGAUUUCUGUUACGGUUUGUUUGUUUUGGUUCAACUUUUUUAUCUUGUAAAUAAGACAUGUUUGACUCAAUAUUCAAUAAUUCCGUUGAGAUCAAUGACAAAUGUUUCGCUCAUUUUCUCGCAUUGUUUACUUUCAUAUGGUAUUAGAGUCUAGUUACGAUCCAAGGACAUGUGAGUUAUACUAGCUUAUGUGACAUAGAGUCAACCUAUAUUGUUGAUGAAUAGUAUUAACAACCUUGUUGUUGGUAAUAUGUAAUUGUGGAAUAAGGAAUUCCUUUGCAAUGUUAUUUUACGCAUUCAGAAAACAACCGUAAAAUGUAGAAGUGCAUAUUAAUCCAUGCCAAUAGUUUUGAUUCGGGGAGUUUGUAAAUUAAUUGACUUGACUUAAUAUUCAGGGCAGCUAGUUGUAGCAUCACUGCUUCAGCGGAAUAUUAAGUUGUGCUUGAUACUUAGGGAUCUCAAGAAAGUCAAGGCUCUUAUUGUCAUUCAGGGGAUAGUGAUUAAGAAGUUCUUCACCACUUUUGGAGUACAGUUGUUUCUCGGAUGGCUAUACUGCAUCUGGCUGUGUGUUCAAUGACUAUACAGGUGUAACUACAUUCUCAGCUUGCAAAAAGGAACAAAUGACAGUUGAACCUACAAUUGCUGAAGCUCUUGGCAUCCGCUGGUGUAUGCAGCACGCGAAGGAUCAAAGAAUUAAAGAAAAGAAAUCAUUGUGCAGUCAGAUGUGUUGGUUGUAGUGGAAUGCAUUAGGGCAGAUUGUAAAGCUCUUAUGAAUGCCUUUAGUAAGACUGUAAUUACCAUGAUCAAUCAUGCAAUUGGAGCAUCUGGAGUCGUAACCAAGGAGUGCAACUUAGAUAUUGAUCAUGGUUGGCUUCUGGCACUGAAUGAAAGCGUGCAAGCACUGUUGGCCAUAUCAAACUGAAAUAUUGUUACUGUGUGAAGGCUUGUAAUUACAUAUAUGUAUUAUUGGACGAGCUGGGACAGAUUGGGAAGAGGUAAAAACAAAGGUGGCUUAGGAUUUAGAGGCUGUUAGUAUAGUGCAUUAUGCUUCUUCCUUUGCUGAAGUGUUCAAUGCAGCCUGUAGACGGCUUUGGGUGUUUUGAAGGUUAAUAUUGAUGUGGGAUGCUUUGAAGGCGGGCACACAUGUUGAGGUCUGAUCGUUAGCACCAUGACUGUGAUGGUGCUUAAAUUGGAUUGAUGAACAGAAACAGUUACAGACUAAUCCUGCUAUUGUAUCUCAUGUGAUUGUAGAAACUAACACAAGUAGUAUCCAAGGACAAGCAUUUGACUUUUAGGAAAAAGAGAGAAAAUAAUAAUGAGCAUUUGGCUUUUAAGAAGUCUGUGUUAAGACUAUCCAUGUAAUGUAAUAUUACUCAUGUCUAUGUUAUGCAUGUCAAUGAAUGAAAAGUGCAGGAACAUCAAUUUGUGUACUUCAA